CCGUUGGUAGCUCAGUUGGUAGGGUGCAUGCUUUGUGUGUACGACGUCCUGGAAUCAAAUCCGUUGCAAAUGGU